UGAGGCUGGACCAUUUGAACUUUGUACCUUCAUGUUGCACAGUUUAUAGCUUUUGUGACAGUUACUGUAUGCCUUUUUGUGCACUAUUUUUUUGUUAUUGAUUACCUUUUAUCUGCAUUAUUUUGCAUCAUGGGGUCACGGCCAACGCAACCUUGAAACGGACCGUAUCGGGUUGACUUCAAAAAGGAGGAAAAUAGUAAAAUGACAAUGACAACUGGGAUGUGUUAGAAAGACGGCGCCAAGAACUUUCUAUAACUUUCGUUCUCACUCUGAAGAAGACAUGAGUGACACCGCCACUGUCGUCGUCAUCACCUGCAGCUACGUCUUCAGCAUCGUCAUUUCGUAUGUCCUGAGAUGCGGUACCCUUCCUGAUUGGGACAAUAUUGAGGAGGCCAAGCUCAAGAAAGCUUUGGUAAACAAAUGUCGGGCCAGAGCAGGUUUUAAGUAGGCCCUUGUAACUGCCAAGUUCAUUCUGGGCCAGCAACACAGCAGAAACCACAUCCCUGGCAAGCUUUGAACACACAAUACUCAUUCAACUCUGGCUCCCCCCUCCCAUGCUUCCCCCGCCCCCGGCGUGAGGUGCCUGUAAUACGAUUCUUUGAUUUUGGA